rnacentral:miRNA from 1 species
CGUGCUUGUGUGUGUGUGUGUGUGUGUGUGUGUGUGUGUGUGUGCAAUGCCACGCGUUCCAGCUCGAGCCGAGCCACACGC